UCCCUGGAGGACUAGUGGGUAGGCCACACUGCCUUCACCGCUGCAACCCGGGUUCGAGUCCUGGCCAGGGAA